GAAUGCUAAUACCGCAUACGCCCUACGGGGGAAAGCAGGGGAUCUUCGGACCUUGCGCUAAUAGAUGAGCCUAAGUCAGAUUAGCUAGUUGGUGGGGUAAAGGCCUACCAAGGCGACGAUCUGUAGCGGGUCUGAGAGGAUGAUCCGCCACACUGGGACUGAGACACGGCCCAGACUCCUACGGGAGGCAGCAGUGGGGAAUAUUGGACAAUGGGCGCAAGCCUGAUCCAGCCAUGCCGCGUGUGUGAAGAAGGCCUUUUGGUUGUAAAGCACUUUAAGCGAGGAGGAGGCUACUUGGAUUAAUACUCUAGGAUAGUGGACGUUACUCGCAGAAUAAGCACCGGCUAACUCUGUGCCAACAGCCGCGGUAAUACAGAGGGUGCGAGCGUUAAUCGGAUUUACUGGGCGUAAAGCGUGCGUAGGCGGCUUUUUAAGUCGGAUGUGAAAUCCCUGAGCUUAACUUAGGAAUUGCAUUCGAUACUGGGAAGCUAGAGUAUGGGAGAGGAUGGUAGAAUUCCAGGUGUAGCGGUGAAAUGCGUAGAGAUCUGGAG
rnacentral:rRNA from 1 species